UCCCGAAGGACGCUGCUUAUGGGCAAAUAUUGUGUUUUGUGGGCAGAUGAGACAUUGAGAAACUGAACUUAUAUUGAUAUUCAUAAGAUUACAGUCCUUUAUUCGAAAAUGGAAAUAACUUGGUAUAAAAACUUAGAACUUCUAGCAGCCAAGAGGAAGCACUACGGGUAAUACUUUCGGAGAUGGUGAGCAUUCCAUUGUCGUGGUAUUUCCUUCCCAUCCAUGGUGUCCAAUGUGUAGCUUCCUCUGUCCCCAGAUCGGCUGAUCACAUAAGGGCCCUCCCAGUUAAGAUUCAACUUUUUUGACCCUUGUCUUGGGGCAGUAAUGAAAGCCUUUCUUAGCACGAGGUCGCCUGGUUGAAACUGUCUGACCUUAGCUCUUUUGUCGUAGUAAGACUUCAACUACUGCUGAUAGAAGGCGACCCGGAUAAUGGUCUUCUCUCGCUCGCCC
rnacentral:lncRNA from 1 species